CGCCAUCUUCCUCGCUCAAGCAGGUGAGUGACAGCAUUGGGGGGUGUUUGGUACUUGUGUUGAGUUGACCUGCAUUUCAUUUGCAGUUGUUGAUUGUGGAAAUGGUUCUGUAGUUCCAUUUCAGGCGGUCUCCUAGCCAGUAUAGAUAUGCUAGAUGCAAUUGCAGGAAUGAAUUGCUGCAGGUUCAGAGUGUUUUAUCAAAAAAAUGUUUAGAUUUUGUCUUCAAUACGAGUCCAGAUGCGUUGAGCGACUCACGUCUUGUGGGUCAACAAUCUUUGUUGCUCGUUUUUGGGACUAGUGAUAUCUUCAGAUAGUGUUUCAUGAAGGGAAUAGUCAAGCACAGGUGCAUCCAUGUUGCAUCAGCUUUUGAUUUUCAGGGUGUAGGCAACAAAAUUAGAGUUAUUUUUUUGUAGGCAACAUAGAGAAUGAUAAGUAGGCAAAAUACUGCAUAUAAUCUUAGCAUCUGUACUGCUUCAGUAGGAAAUACUGUAAUAUAUGUGUUCUUCUAGCUUUUUUUCAGCAUCUUUGUUCACAAGGGGUGCAGGCAGGCAAUAUAUGUUUUCAGCAGGCAAAACUAUAAUAAUAUGUGGGUUCAUAUUGGUAGCUAUUUAUCAACAACUGUUUUCUUUAGUAGGCAACAUAUUUUUUUAGUGGGCAAUACUGUAAUAUCCUACAGUUCGACAAGGUCCGCCUUCCCUUCAACUUCCACAUGCAUACAUCUGUGAACGCAACUCGUCAAUCGAAUUGAUGUCCUGCAACUGCAAUCAAUCAGCAGUAAGCAUCAUCUAGGUGUUUUGAUCCGGUGUGCCUAGUCUUCUUGUUGUUUCAGUCAGUGUGCCACGCGCUGGACAAGCAUGUCAAGAUCAGGGUCUACUUCAAGGUAUGUACCAACACUCUUCUACCUGGCACGCCAAUAGCUUUUUCAGUCUGCCCAACACCGUACCCAGCACCACUGUCAACAAAGACUGCUCCUUGGGGAUGAAGGGUAUCCAAAAUUCAUCUCUUCACCUGUAAUGUCUCGGUAGUUACUUGCCACUGCUGCUACAAAACUUAUGUUGUUGCUUUUUGGCCCGUUCCUUGCUAUCUGAAGUAUAUAUUUUUGUGUGUCGCUCAUUCGCUAUCUGAAGAAUUUUAUGUAAGUAGUCUUAAUGUGUGUUUAGCUUUCAGUUUUUACUCCUACUUCACAGAGCAGUAUUCGAUGAUUAUAUUAUGAGUCACUGAAAAUGUAUACUGUUUUUUUCUUCAAGAUAUGGAUGACUAUCUGAAGGGAUGCAGGAUUCUUCCCAAACUUAACAACUGAGAUACUAGGUGAAAGAAAUGCUCCCUACAAGGAAAGGUUGAGCAGCCUAGAGAAUUUAGUACUGAUCAUGGUAAGGUUGACAAAGCCUGAAAUCUCAUUUUUGAUCCAGGUUCAAAGAUUACAUGGUAGCAUAUAUACUUGAAGUUGGCAGGGAAUAUCAAAACUCAAAUACACAGGUAUUAAUUUCUUGUAUGCACCAAAACAACAAGAUAGCAUGAACACGUAUAGCUAGGGUAUGCAUUUAGUCUUUCCAUUUUGAAGAUUCUUAAUAGACUAAAAGAGACUGAUAAAUGAAGAAAAUACCCUACUGGAUCUGCACAAGGAUGCGAACUAACAAGUUUUCAUUUUCCCGACGUGGGCGCAGGGGUGAUCGACGCGGACUACAACGACCUGGUGGGCGCCGUGCUCUUCAACCACUUGGAUUAUUGUC
rnacentral:lncRNA from 1 species